rnacentral:rRNA from 1 species
UACGGGGGGGCAAGCGUUGUUCGGAAUUACUGGGCGUAAAGGGCUCGUAGGUGGCCAACUAAGUCAGACGUGAAAUCCCUCGGCUUAACCGGGGAACUGCGUCUGAUACUGGAUGGCUUGAGUUCGGGAGAGGGAUGCGGAAUUCCAGGUGUAGCGGUGAAAUGCGUAGAUAUCUGGAGGAACACCGGUGGCGAAGGCGGCAUCCUGGACCGACACUGACACUGAGGAGCGAAAGCGUGGGGAGCAAACAGG